rnacentral:lncRNA from 1 species
CACUGAGUCGGCUCAAUCUCAGACUGAAUCGACUAACCUUGGACUUAGUAGACUCAGACUAGCACUGAGUCGACUAACCUAUGUACUGUGCCAUAGAUUUUUAAAAUCUUUGUCUUCUAUUUUUCUGAGAUAUAGUCGAUCCAGAUUGAGACUGGAUUGAUCCACCUACGACUUAGUUGAUCUAGUCUCAAUCUGAGCCGACUAACAUCCUGAAUCUGCUCUUUUCUCCAUAGCUUCAGCUCUGACUCUAGUUCCUUCCUCUAUCUUGUGUCUCCAGGUAUCUGAAGCCCCAAUCAAGUCCCUCAAAAUCUUUAUCGUCUGAACCUCAAGCCCAUGAAGAGCUACGCACUACC